GUAAACAUAGUUUAAUCAAAACAUUAGAUUGUGAAUCUAACAAUAGAGACUCAUAGACCUCUUGCUUACC
rnacentral:tRNA from 1 species